rnacentral:rRNA from 1 species
UAAGACAGAGGGUGCAAACGUUGUUCGGAAUUACUGGGCGUAAAGCGCGUGUAGGCGGCUAUGCAAGUCGGAUGUGAAAGCCCUCGGCUCAACCGGGGAAGUGCACCCGAAACUGCAAAGCUAGAGUCUCGGAGAGGAUCGUGGAAUUCUCGGUGUAGAGGUGAAAUUCGUAGAUAUCGAGAGGAACACCGGUGGCGAAGGCGGCGAUCUGGACGAUGACUGACGCUGAGACGCGAAAGCGUGGGGAGCAAACAGGAUUAGAUACCCUGGUAGUCCACGCCGUAAACGAUGGGUGCUAGGUGUCGCGGGCUUUGACCCCUGCGGUGCCGCAGCUAACGCAUUAAGCACCCCGCCUGGGAAGUACGGCCGCAAGGCUA